CAACCCACAACGUGACAGACAGAGUGAAAUAAAUCCACUGUGUCCCUUUAAAUCUAAAUUUAAACUGCCAAAUUAGGCAGUGUUUCAUAUUUUAUUCAUUUAUAAACAAUAAAAAAAUCUGUCUCAAUAAAGCCACUUGGAGAAUCUUUUGAAGAUAACUCUCACCUCUUUAAUGCGGGAAGUCUCUUGUCGAGGCUGGGCAGACUAUUUAGGAACCUUUAGAGCUCCAUGAGUUUGCUGACUGGAGGAUCUGGUCUCUACUUUUUGUGGAUGGUGUGGUCCUUUGGGCUCCAUAAAACUUUGACCUUCAGCUAUUGCUAUGAAGGUUUGCAGGUGAGUCUGAAGCAGCUGGGGUGAGGAUCAGCAACCUCCAAACCCGACGCCACGGCUCUCAGUCGGAAAAGGGCGGAUUACCAACUCUGAGUUGAGGGAGAAAUCCUACCUUAAAUGGAGGAGUUUCAAUUACCUCGAGGUCUUGUUCAAAAGUGAGGGAAGGAGGGAGCGAGAGAUUGACAGGUGGAUUGAGGAAGCAUCUGCAGUGAUGUAUAUAUGUGAUGCAUUGGAAAACAGAGGAAGAUGGAUGGAUUGUGUCAUGAGUCUGCUGUUUUUCCCUCUGAGUCUAUUUGCAGGUGGGCGUGUCGGAGAGCCUCAGCUGCUGCUGAUUUCUCAUCAGCAAGGCCAGGGGAUUUAAGGAGUGGCAUGUCCACACUCCAGCGCCGGUUGAUACUCUCACCUGGGUAGCUUCCAGCCUCGUCCUGAAAUUGUACAAUUUUUGCAAUCUUGCUCUGCUUGUCCUGUUUAAUUACCUGUCCUGCCCCCCCAGAUCUACUACCAAGUCUCAGCCUGAGUUCUCUUCUGUCCUGGAGUGUGUACCUCAGCCUCGCCACUCAUUCUCCCCUGGUCAUCUGCUCUCCGCCGUUCACCUGCUCUGGAUAUUCGUCAACCACAUCCAUCCAGCCUGAACCAUCGACCAGACCUAACCUACCCUCUCCUCACAUUCAUCCUCUGUUCUGUUUCCACCCUGACCGGGUUUCCGCUUCGUCUAAGAUCGCCCUUAGUUCCCGUUGGCUUUUUCCAGCACCCGUUUGGAGCUGCGUCCUUCGUUAUUAUUAUUUUUUCAUUUAAUAAAAUCAAAUUCUUAUUUUUA